UCUGGUUGAUACUGAUGGUAGCAUAUGCUUGUCUCAAAGAUGAAUCCAUGCAGAUGUAAGUACACACGAGCGGUACAGUGAAACUGCGAAUGGCUCAUUAAAUCAGUUAUGGUUCCGUUGAUCGCUCCACCUUUUACUUGGAUAACUGUGGUAAUUCUAGAGCUAAUACAUGCUGAGUGCGGACGUCCCGGAAUGCGUGCAUUUAUCAGACCAAGACCAGUCUGGGCUCGCCCGCCUGCUUUGGUGACUCUAGAUAACCUGAGGCCGAUUGCACAUCCCCGUGACGGCGACAAUGCAUUCGGAUGUCUGCCCUAUCAACUUUCGAUGGUUCUUUCUGUGCCUACCAUGGUGACCACGGGUAAUGGGGAAUCGGGGUUUGAUUCCGGGGAGGGAGCCUGAGAAACGGCUAUCGCAUCCAAGGAAGACAGCAGGUGCGCAAAUGAUCCACUCCCGACUCCGGGAGGUAGUGACUCUUUCGAGGCACCGUAAUUGGAAUGAGUACACUUAAAAUCCUUUAACAGGUACCCAUUGGAGGGCAAGUCUGGUGCCAGCACUCAGAUAACCAUACCAAAUGUAUUUCCACCUCCAAAUGCGUAUAUUAAGGUUGCUGCAGUUAAAAAGCUUUUAGAUGGAUCUUGGGAUCGAGCUGGUGGUCCGCCGUGCAGCGAGCUACCGCCUGUCCCAGCCCCUGCCUCUCGGCACCCCCAAGUAGUGUUCAAAGCAGGCCAGUCGCCUGAAUACUUCAGCUAAGAAUAAUGGAAUGGGAGUCCGGUUCUAUUUUGUUGGUUUUUGGAACUGGGGCCAUGAUUAAGAAGGACAGCCGGGGGCAUUCGUAUUGUGCCGCUAGAGGUGAAAUUCUUGGACUGGCGCAAGACGAACCAAAGUGAAAGCAUUAGCCAAGAAUGUUUUCAUUAAUCAAGAACGAAAGUCUGAGGUUCGAAGAUGAUUCGAUACCGCCCUAGUUCCGACCAUAAAAAAUGCCGGCUAGCGAUCUGGCAGCGUUCUUCCGAUGACCCGCUGAGCAGCUUCCCAGAAACCAAAGUCUUUGGGUUCCGGGAUGAGUAUGGUUGCAAAGCUGAAACUUGAAGGAAUUAACGGAAGGGCACCACCAGGAGUAGAGCCUGCAGCUUAAUUUGAUUCAACACGGGGAACCUCACCCGGACCAGACACGGAAAGAAUUGACAGAUCAAUGGCUCUUUAUCGAUUCUGUGGGUGGUGGUGCAUGGCCAUUCUUAGUUGGUGGAGCGAUCUGUUGAUAACGAAUGAGACUCCUCCAUGCUAACUAGUUACGCGACGCCCACAGCGGUCAGCGUUCAACUUCUUAUAGGGACAGGUCUGUGAUGCCCUUAGAUGUCCGGGGCUGCACGCACGCUACACCGAACGGAUCAGCGUGUGUCUACCCUUUGCUGACAGGUGCGGGUAACCUGCUGAACCCUGUUCGUGAUGAGGAUUGCGGAUUUCAAUUAUUUCCCAUGAACAAGGAAUUCCCAGUAAGUGCGGGGUCAUAAGCUGGCGUUGAUUUAAGUCCCUGCCCAUUGUACACACCACCCAUCGCUACUACCGAUCCAUGCUGCAGGCGGGAAUCGAGUUUCGGCUGCCCACAUCCGUGGGUGAGCGAUGGCCAGGCGCAGCAGGCAACCUUACCUCCUUGCCUAGGUACCGGGUUCAGGCACCGUGCGGCCAGGCUUGGGUUUGAAAACUC
rnacentral:rRNA from 1 species